CUAACACUGACUGGCCACAGAAGAUGGUCCAUAAACAUGUGGAACAUUCUUCAUCUUUCCGCUGAUUAUUUUAAAAAAUCAGUUUGUCUACUUGUCCAGCUUUUAAGCAUCCAUAAUGAGUUUUUCAUAAUUUCCAGCUGUUUUUUUAAGCUGGCUAAUGAUGGUCAGAAGGGUAGCCUUCCGGUCUGACAUUCCUUUCUAGAGAUGCUACUCUCUAGUCAGUGUUAAACAAUAAGCCAGUGUCCCCAUUCCGCCAGGUACACUGCUAAUGAGUAACAGAACCACGAUAUACAAGAUCCCCUGAACUUGGGAUGCUUGAAAAAAGGACAAGUGAUGGCUAGGGGUGGAAUUUUUGUGGACAGUAUUUAUGUCAUUAGGUAUAUCCUCAAACUCACGAGAGAGGUGACUGUAGAACAGCCACUAAAAAGAAUGAAAGAGCUAGCUCACGGGAGGAAGUGAUCUGGAAGAAAAGGAGCCCAUUAUAUUCCUAACUAUCUGGGAUUGUGCCCUUGGAAUUAAAGGGAAAUGCAACUUUCUACAGAGGGCACUCUGUGUGAAUCCAUGUUUUGUAGCACCCAUCAUGCUACCAAAGGACAUUUUAUUUGUGUAGCAUUUAGGAAGAAAAGAUUGACUCAAAAAUUGAAGGAGGUACUGCAUCAAUGGAGCCAGCAGUCACUGCCCAUUCAGGAGAUUCAGCAAAGUUUCUGGAAACAGGUCAGCCAAAGGGCACUCGGUUUUCCCCAAGCUGCCAUCCCCAGUUACAACACCUGUGAGCUUCAAAGCCCAUCUUGCAGGUCCUCGUCUAUACUGACCUUGCCAGGAGAGGUCAAAAACAGGGAACAUGGGUCCUAUUUCAGAGGUCAGUUUUUUUAAGGCAAGUGGCAGGAAGACCUUUAGAUGUGAAUGGGCAGAAACAGGAAGAGAACUGAGGAUUCCUGGUUCCAAGUUCAGAUACUCCGCUUCCCUUUGAAUACAAGGGCUCCAGGAAGAAAGGGCGUUUUUGCCCCCACUGUUGUGGGAAAGGAUGGAGAUGUCAGGGCUCCUGGCUGACUCAUUAGUACCUAGUCUUCCCUUUCAACCCUCAUGCAGCCUCUAGAGGCCCCAUUCCCCAUGCAGCCUGACCACUCAUAUCAGCCCUCACGAGCUCAGAAAAAGGAGAGAUGUGGGCACUAAGGAAAGAAAUAGCAGAACGGAAUAAAGGGGAAAGAUAUCAUUCUGCUGCGUCCUUGCCCACUCCCUCCUCAGCAUAUGGAACGCAAUGCUCCUGUGAGGACCAGCAGGAACACAUCAUACAAAAGCCCGAGGACCAGAGAAGCAGCUGGAAUAUUCAUUCAGGGGACAGAAUGAAGAGGCAGAAAGCUCCAACUUCAGAUCCCACAGGUGGAGACAGCUCCGAGGAAACGAAAGCUGAACCGAGCCAGAUGACUCUGAAGAAAGACAAAUGGGAUGAUAAGACAGAUACUGUUUUCCAAGUUUCUUCAACUACCAUUUCUUGGAGCUCCUUGCCAGGCUUUCUCGGUUGCGCUCUCUUCCUG